UGGGGGAUUUGUGAGGCAAAGGAUCUUGGGAAGGUCAUUCUAAAACCUGAUCGUCAAGUGCAAAUUCUGGGUUGUUUAGCCAAGGCACUUCUUAAAAUUUCCUCCCUAUUCAGCACCCUCUCUGCAGCUUCCCUCACAAAGAUUAGAGCAGCUUCCCAAUGAAAUAACUGUAGGAAGACCAAAAGUGGCAGCCCUCUAGGCAGCAGACAGAGAGCUGUGAUGUCAAAGCUGUGGUAACCUUAGUAAGUGUGACAUUUACUGGGCAGAAUGUGAAUUCCUAUUCUGUUGCAACACAAAGGCAGAGAGGCACAUCUUUUUUCUUUUGCCCAUACGUUUGGAGCCAAAGGCAAAACCAAAGAGAAUACAUUGUCAGCUAUGAUCAAGCAGAAUUUGAAAUCCUACAGCUGGGCAGUGCCCCGUCUUCUGAUUUCUGUCUGUUUGGCUGUUUAUGCUGGUGUUGGAAAUGCAGCCGAGGAGAACAGAGCUAUCUCAACCCAUUCACCUGCCGCUUCCCCCACAACAGUGUUUCACACAUACGGAAUGAGUCUUGUGCCUCCAUCUGUGUCUCAGAGUCCAAGCAGAGAGAAAGCCAAAGAGGGUGAAACGGUGACCCUUGGAUGCCGGUUCCGAAGUUCCCAUGGCUCAUCUUUGAAUAACCUAACAGUGAAAUGGUACAAGGAGGAUGAAAAAGGGUCGAGGGACCUAAUGGAGAACAACAUCACUGUUUUGGCAAACUACACUAGAGCAUUCCUGACAGGGGAUUUAUCUGAAGGCGAUGCAUCUUUGACUAUCUUAAAUGUGACAACCAGCGAUCAUGGCACUUAUUUCUGCCAGGUGACCCUUUCCAAUGGAGAUGUGGUGACAGGAGGUGGCACAAAGCUCAGGAUCCGCAGGGCACUGGGAUUGUUUGGCAUAGAAGAAUCCAUUGGAACAAUCAUUGGCGUGGUGGCAGCUGGCAUUGGAGGCAUGUUAGUUCUAAUAGUAGUUUUAACUCCUCAGCUGAGGAAGUGCCUUCCAUGUGCUAAAGCAACGUCGAACCAAGCAUAACUUGGACAGCAUGGUUAAAGUAAUUGCCAGAUGUGCCACCGACUAUAUAGUUUUCUGAAUGUUUUCCAUCUUGAUCUUUUGCUGUCCUUCCUCUUCCCCUCCCCCUCUUGUAUCCCCUUUU